rnacentral:tRNA from 1 species
GUCAGGAUGGCCGAGUGGUCUAAGGCGCCAGACUCAAGGUUGUUCCCUUCCCAGGGUUUGGGGUUUCUGGUCUCCACAUGGAGGCGUGGGUUCAAAUCCCACUCCUGACA